rnacentral:rRNA from 1 species
GCAUGNUUAACACAUGCAAGUNGAACGGUAGCAGGUNUAGCUUGCUAGAUGNUGACGAGUGGCGCACGGGUGAGUAAUACAUAGGAAUCUACCUAGUUGAGGGGGAUAACCCGGGGAAACCCGGGNUAAUACCGCGUAAGCCCGAGAGGGGAAAGUAUGGGAUCUGAAAGGACCAUAUGCGAUUAGAUGAGCCUAUGACGGAUUAGCUAGUUGGUAGGGUAAAGGCCUACCAAGGCAACGAUCUGUAGCUGUUCUGAGAGGAAGAUCAGCCACACNGGAACUGAGACACGGUCCAGACUCCUACGGGAGGCAGCAGUGGGGAAUAUUGGACAAUGGGGGCAACCCUGAUCCAGCAAUGCCGCGUGUGUGAAGAAGGCCUGCGGGUUGUAAAGCACUUUCGGAGGUGAAGAAGGGUCUUGUUCUAACAGGGCAAGGCAUUGACAUUAGCCUCAUAAGAAGCACCGGCUAACUCUGUGCCAGCAGCCGCGGUAAUACAGAGGGUGCGAGCGUUAAUCGGAAUUACUGGGCGUAAAGCGCACGUAGGUUGUUAAUUAAGUCAGAUGUGAAAGCCCUGGGCUCAACCUGGGAAUGGCAUCUGAAACUGGUUAGCUAGAGUAUGGUAGAGGAAGGUGGAAUUUCCGGUGUAGCGGUGAAAUGCGUAGAUAUCGGAAGGAACAUCAGUGGCGAAGGCGACCUUCUGGACUAAUACUGACACUGAGGUGCGAAAGCGUGGGUAGCGAACAGGAUUAGAUACCCUGGUAGUCCACGCUGUAAACGAUGAGAACUAGCUGUUGGGGAGGUAUAACUCUUUAGUGGCGCAGCUAACGCGAUAAGUUCUCCGCCUGGGGAGUACGGCCGCAAGGUUAAAACUCAAAGGAAUUGACGG